UGGUUUUUGGGUAAAACUGAUGGGUUUGGCCAUAAGAACAUCCUAUGUGCUCAUACAAACCCUAAUGCUUGGAUCUAGGUUUCUCUAUUGUACAUGCAAUUCAUCCAAGACUAUAAACCCUAGCUCUAGCAUAUGAUGAUCAAUAUAACAUAUAAAUUAGGGUUUAGAUCAUACCUUGAUUGUUAUGUAGCAAUAACAAUCUCAAAUCCUUCUUGUAUUGACUUUAGAAAGCUUAGAGUCACAAAUGUCACUCCUCUAAUGGUUCACAAACACCAAGAGCAAGAGGAUGAAGAAGAUAAGAGAAGGAGGUUGCCCAAAACGUGUGGAAACCCUAGACAACAAGUUCACCACAUUUUUGGGGCAUAAGGGUUCUUUAAAUAGUGAGGCUAUUAGGGUUAUCUAACAAGGAAACCCUAAUUUGGAUGCUUAGGCCCUAAGCAACCCAUGGACUCCUUCCUUAACAAGCCUUGGACGAUUUCUAAUGGGUUUCCCCAUAGAAUUCGUCCAACCUUAUAUUAUAAGGUAAUCCAUAGCCCAAUUGCAAUUAUCUUAUAAUUACAAUUCCAGUCCCUUAAGUUUAAUUAAUCUCUUUUAGUCACAAACUUAAUUCUUAUUAAUUCUUGACUAAUAUUAAUUAAACAAUAUGAUUUCUCCUUUAAUAUAUUAUUCUCAUAAUAUAUUAAUAAAUCAUAUUUAAUCCUUUCUCUCCAUAAUUCAUCCUAUCAAGUUGCUUUGGUGAAGGCAACCCAAAAGGACCAUGCACCAUCGGGUCAAGUACAUACCAAAAUAGUUAUGGACUUAGACACUAAUCCAACAGUCUCCCACUUGGAUAAGUCUAAUAACUAUUCUGCGUAUGACUUCAGAUCCUGAUCUGCAAUCGUAGCUUUCUAAAGCCGCUAUCAACUCUGAUCCUAUCAGAUACGUGUGUCCUUUAGAUAAGGGAUCAUAUAUUCCUCCAUUCUAGGUAUCGUAUAGACUGAGACAUGGAUCUAAAUCAUUCUCUAUGUCUAUGUGCUGUUUCCUGAAUUCAGAUUUAUGACGACUGAUAACAAACUACAAUUUUAACACGUCAAAUUAGUCCCGGCUUGGCCAAGCGCUUAGGUGCCAUCACUAAAUCAUCGAGGGGCCCACAGAUAUCGCUUUUAUCCUACUUUGGAUAAAAGGAACGGAUAAAUUUUGACGCAGUGCUCCCUUGCACUCACUCACCAAAUCACACAUAACAAUAUGUUUUAUAACACCAAGUUACUAGUGCGUUUACAUAUUAUCAAUGUGUAACCGACUCGCAAGAUACAACUCACACAUCUCGGUUUCAAGAAUAUAAGAUGUUAUCGUCUCACCAAUCACUCGUGAUAAAAUCCAUGAAGUGAUCCAAGUGAGCGUGGGUUUAAUCCAAUGCUCAAAUCAUAUUCAUAAGCACUCAUGAACGUUGCAGCAAACAUUUGCUUAUGUCUAAUACUCUUUAGACAAUCCACACACCAAUUCACGACAGUCUUCAUUCAUACCUACUUCCAACAUAUGAACGACUGUGGCCCGUUUGAAUAAUUUGACUGUUCUCAACCAAUUAAAUUAUUCAGGAAGUCAAAACAUGCAAAGUGAAACACAAGAAUAAUACUAAUCCCAUAUGGCCUCAAACCUUUGAGUAUAAAUAAAACACCUUUUAUUUAUCACCAUAUCGAUUACUCAUUAUUUGUUGUUUCGGGUAAUCAACUUCUUACUUGAAUUAUUACUACACUUGUCCCAUGCUCUUAGCAUGCACACAAUGUUUACCUAUGGUUCUUACUUUGUGAAAUAGAUCAAAUGAACACAUUUCCAAUCAUACUCAUUUCACAACUCCUAAUCCUUUUCACAAGUGAAAGAAUAUCAAAUUCUUGCCACUUAUAGAAUAUGUUAGAUUCUAACAUUUUAUGCAAUGAUCCUUUCGUAAUGUCACUGCACUAAAGUCAUAAUGACUAUUGCCAAUGAAAUUACAAAGUCCUCUAUCGGAGAUUGUUACAAGACAAUUCCAUAGAUGUGAUGUCUCUCACUCAAAGUACAUUCCUUUGAACAUCCUUUUGCAUAAAAGUUUCUAAUCUAGACAUUGAUUCUCAAUAUCCAACUCCCAAUAUGGAAACAUUUCCAUAUUUUCCAUAUGACAACUCAUUCUCAAUAGAAUCUUAUCUAUUCAUAGUAAUGUCGAUAUGGUCCAUCCAAUACUAUACUUCCAACUACUCACAAGCGACCAAUCCUCGGCGAAUGGUAAAAUAUUAUAGCAUGGUAAAAUAUUCUUAGUCAAAAUUGAUUCUUGUCCUUCUUCCCUCUGAAUGCGCUAGACAUUUGGAAAAUUUUAGAAUGGUAAAAUAUUAUAGCAUUUGCAAUCGAUCCUAUACCCGAAGCAUAUGGGACAUAAUGCAUAAUGUCUUACAUAAAGAUUCGACACUUUAUCAAUCUUCUGCCAUAAUAUUUUAUGUGCUACGUUCUCUCAAUUCGAAAUAUGAAGAGGAAUUUCGUAAUCAUAAUCGAAAUUUAAGAACACACUAUGUAACCUUUGACUAAUAUUAUUAAUAUUCCACAACCUAAGCCUUUAGAUUUGAAAUGAAGCAUAAUAUUCUCUCCCUUAAUUAUAGCAAAACAACUAUUCAACCCUUACAACUUUGCAAAGUAUGACUCUUGUUUUCUAUAAUUAAUAUUGCUAACUUGCAAUACUUGCCUUAAUAAUCAUGCAAUCAUAACAUUUAUGCUCCCACUAUCACGAUGAUUAUUACAAACAUAACACUUAUGCUCCCANAGCUCCCACUAGCUAUGACAUGUAUUCAGAAAUAGCUUAACUUUCAGAAAAACAAUGCCUAUUGAAUUUCUUUAAGUUCAUAUUUCUAAUACCCAAUGCUUUGAUAAUCUUUUAUCAAGGCUUCUUAAACUUAUACACCUUUGCCUUAGAUAGUUUAUAUGUGUCUCUUAAACAAUUUAGACUAAUUUCCAAAUCUCAUAAUUCGGAUCAUGAAAAGGGAUACCAUAACCAUAAUUAAAUUCGAGAAUACAAUUUUCACAAUACUAUCUUCUUAAAAUCUUCCUUAGUGAAAGUAUUUACUCACAGUCAUUUUCAUGAAGGAGGGAAUCUUAUGACACUUAGAUUUUAAUGGUGUAUGUGUUCCUACCCAUGUGAAUUUGUCAAAACCAAAGUUUACGACAAAUUCAAACUCAUAUGGACCGAACUUUCUUAAUCUUGAUUUCUUGCCUUAUGGUAACACAGCUGCCCACCAUGUCUUCCAAGUAGUUAAGCAGCUCACCUUUUCCUAUCAAUGUACUUUCCAUUGAUCAAGGUCCUUGCCUUUUAUGCAUUCAAAUGAGAACUCAUAGAACUCACAUGCAUAAUUAACUCAAUUGGAAUGGCACAGAAACAAAAUAAUGUCAACACGAUAGGUUGUAAACCUCAAGUCGUGUGCUAGUGAUGAUCGAUAAGGUUUAUUCUUGAUUUGUUCUUGAAACCUUUCAAGACCAUUAAGACUCCCACUAACUCCUUGACAUAUAAGAUUCUCUUGUCAAUAAACAUUUCUCGACAAACAAAUAUUCAAGAGUUAGUGUAGCUUUUAUCAAGACAAAACACUUCACAAAAUUGGUCCUAGUUGGUCUUUGUCUUAUCCAAGACAUCACAACUUUCCACAUUUGAUGAAUGUUAUAAACCUUCUUAAGACUUGUCACUCAAUGUCACAAUCUUAAGUCUAAGACUUGUUUUUGGAACGAAGUAUGAUUGACCUCUUGAUUUAACCAUUUCAUCAAUUCUUGAUUCCUCUUCUCAGACAUACAAUUGUAUUAAGACUCACUUAGAGCAUCAAUUGAGAUAUGGUUGUUAAUCAUUAAGACCUAUCAUAAAACAUAAUAAAUGUACUCUCCCUUCUUCUUAGAAUGGAGAAACUUUUAUCUUUCCGCCUACUUGAUUCUUCUUAUUCGUUCUGCUAUUGAUUUAAAGUCUUUCAAUCAAUUCAGAAUUCACUUAAUCUUAUCAGUAUAAUCAUAUUUACUAAACCUUUAGUAAAUUAUGACGAAUAUCUUUCUUACUCUUGUGGUGGACUUGAUCAACACACAACUUUGUGUACUCAAUCUCCUAGUCCUUCACUUGACACUUUGUCAACGACUUAGUCUAAUUUCCAAAUAUGAAAUUUCUCAUUCAUCAUGCAACCAAGUUGCAUGAUUCCAAGUUUCUGUCCAAUUGAAACUUGGGUGAUGAGAGACUCUCCCUAUUUGGUAAAUUCUCGACAUUUCCACAUAAUUAAGAAUCAAAUCCAUUAUUGCUAAUAAUAGACACAUUCAAAACAUCAAUUUUUCAUACACGCCAUCGCAAGGAUAAAUAAAUAAUAUAAAAUCAAAAUUUUAUUUUAUUGCGGAAAAAUUUGUCCUUACAAUGCAAUUCUUUGAAAAACUAUGCUAAUACAUAUUUCUUAGCAAUCUUAUUCUAACUCCAAGUAGUGGCUCAAGAAUCUAAUCUUCAAGUAAUGCGAUCGAAAUCCAUUUCUUCACGAUUAGAUUCCGCUCACUUCUUCCCUUAAGUUUCCUCUCUUUUCUUCGAUUCUACAAAACAUCAAAAUGUAAUCUUAUCACAUCAUAUAUUAAGAAUCUAGAAUAGGAACUUAAAAGAGUUAGUUAAUAGAAUUUACAUAAAUCAGAGCCAUACGUUUUAACUCUCCAAUCUCUUAGAUCUCUUAGGUAAAUAGGGCAGCUUCGUCUCCAAUGCCCCUUCUCUUAGCAAUAAAAGCAAAUUGACUCUUUUGGAAUACCAUAUGGAACUACUUCAGACUUUGCCUUUCUCUUAUGAUCAAACUUUUCAAUCAUGGCAUGCCUUUCGUUUCCAUUGCCUAUAUCCAUGGAAGUCUAGAAGGCAGAUUCACCAAUCAACUUUGCUUUUCCAGUGCGCCAAAUCAUUGCUGAUUCAACAACAAUAAGCAUGUAGGUGAGAUCUAUAAGGGUCACGUUGUGGUUCAUCAUAUAGUACUCUCUAACGAAAUCACUAUAUGAUUCAGGAAGCGAUUAAAGAACCCAAUCAACAACCAACUUACCUGAAAUCUCGACACCCAACAUCCUAAACCUUUCAAUGUGUGACUUCAUCCCUAAGACGUGUACACACACAGGUUUCCCAUGUUUACUUGCCAAAAGGGCUUGAAUGAGCUUGAACUUUCAAGCCUUCGAAAUUGUGGGUUAGGGAGAAUAAUUGGAGGAGGUGGAGGAAGUGAAGCAUGAUCUCUUGUUCCUCGAUCGAAUCGUAGAAUAUCAUCUUCAUAUGGAAAGCUUGUUCCAUGGGAUUUAGGAAUACCAUAGUUGUCGUACUUUGACAUCUACAAAACAGGAGAAACUAAAUUCAAGUUAGUUGAUUGAUUAAGUCCUUAAUAAAUCACCCAAAUGAGAUAUUAAGGCUAGGACCCAACACAAUACGCUACAACCUAGAAAAGGGAUGCCAUAAUCUACUUGCAGAAUAUUUGAAGGUAGGUAAAUGACGAUUUACCAAUUUCCACCAUGAAAAACGAAAAAGAAAUUUAGGUUUUAAAUCUAUGAAAAAUCCUAGAUCCUUUGAGAUUCAUUGAACUUUUCAAUGGCAUGUUUAAAUCUCGAUAUGCCCCUCUAGUUUGUGACUGGGAUACCGAGGAUCACAAAGCGGGAGUGAAUAACCAUGCAAACUUACAUGGUGCCCCCACAUGUUACAGUCACCUCUUUGAUGUGCCGGUUAACCACACACGCUCCACCGAGCUAUGACAAACAUUGAGUCACCCUUUGCUACCUUUGCUUAGAACCAUUUAGUGCGCCGGUUAACCACACACGCUCCACUAACGUCUUCGUAAGGGCACAAAGUGUAACUUCAUGGAGUUGCAUCAAUUCACUUUUGCCUUAAGUAACUAACAUUGGGAAUUUUGUAAAACUUUUAGUUACUUUAUACUUUAUUAUACUUUUAAUGGAAAGGGUUUUCCCUAUCCUACCCGUUCAGCUAACGACCCUCCACCAAUCAAGGAAGCAAUGGGUGAGAGUGGACACCCAUUAAACGGCCAUUUUAUAGGCCAUAACCUUAUACCCCCCUUAUAGAUCGGCUUCGUGAAUGAGGCCUACUAACAGUAAGACUAGCAUUUAAGUUAUACAUAUAUAAUAUUAAACGGUUAAUGUUAUACAUAGUAUAUGGGUGUAUUUUACACUUUUAAAAUACUAGGUGGUUUAAAUUAUACUUUUAAUUAACCAAAAUCAUUAUGGAUUUAUUAACUCUCUUUUAAUUAUACACUUAAUUAACUUUAUAAAACCAUAAAGGUUUAAUUUGAACUUUUCAAAAUUAGGGUUUUGGAAUUUAGACUUUAAAAAUUAACUUUUAAUCAACAAUUUAAAUUCCAAAACUUGAGGGCAAGUUUUGAAACUUUUCAAACCAAUUAGGUUUUAAUCUCACUUAAAAUUUUCGAAUUUAAGACAUUUAAAUUAAAAUUUUAAAUAUUAAAACUCUUGAUUUAAUAAUUACCAUAAAUUAAACAAUUAAUUUAAAAUAAUAAAUCACAAGGGAUUAUCUAGAUCAUGAGGAUAAUUACCAUUUAUACAUUUAAGAUAUCCUAAUCCCUUGAAUCCCUCUCUAAGUCUCGAAAAUGAGGGAUGGGAUAAUUCAAGAUCUUUAAUUACCAUAUUUAACAAUUAAAAGGUAAUUACAAGAUAUGGGAUUAUCCAAAUCCCUAAAAUUUAGGAUCUUAUCUUGGGGAAGGAGGCUAAUCUCGAAAUCUAAGGGUUUGCAAACCCUAGAUUUCGAAAUCUUGGACUAAUGGAAAGGAUUCAUAAAACCUUUUCAUGAUAUUUUCGCAAAUUAGGGUUAGGAAACCCUAAUCUCGAAAUCUAUAGCCUCCUAGGGUUUAUUGGCUAUAAACCCUAAUUUGUCAAGUUCAUACAAUUGAAUAAACUAAUUGGACACAAGUUAACCAAUGGCUCCGAUACCACUUAUUGGUUUUAUACAAACAAUCUUAUGUGUACAUGCAACCCUAGAGUUGGAUCUAUGUUUUCACUAUUAGUUAUACAACUUUAUGAACACAAAAAGAAACCUGGCAUGCUACUAUAAUUUUCGAAAUUCAUAUAUAAAGCUAGAAUACAUACCUUUUGUUGUUAUAUAGCAAUAACAACUAGUUCCUUGAAUUUCCUUAGCUCUUGAAAGCANUCAAAUCCUUCUGCUAUUGACUUUAGAAAGCUUAGAGUCACAAAUGUCACUCCUCUAAUGGUUCACAAACACCAAGAGCAAGAGGAUGAAGAAGAGAAGAGAAGGAGGUUGCCGAAAACGUAUGGAAACCCUAGACAACAAGUUCACCACGUUUUGGGGCAUAAGGGUUCUUUAAAUAGUGAGGCUAUUAGGGUUAUCUAACAAGGAAACCUAAUUUGGAUGCUUAAGCCCUAAGCAACCCAUGGACUCCUUCCUUAACAAGCCUUGGACGAUUUCUAAUGGGCUUCCCCAUAGAAUUCGUCCAACCUUAUAUUAUAAGGUAAUCCAUAGCCCAAUUGCAAUUAUCUUAUAAUUACAACUCCAUUCCCUUAAUUUUAACUAAUCUCUUUUAGUCACAAACUUAAUUCUUAUUAAUUCUUGAUUAAUAUUAAUUAAACAAUAUGAUUUCUCCUUUAAUAUAUUAUUCUCAUAAUAUAUUAAUAAAUCAUAUUUAAUCCUUUCUCUCCAUAAUUCAUCCUAU
rnacentral:lncRNA from 1 species